ACAAACUUUACUUUACUUUUACUUUAGGUUAUGUUGUGUUUAUAUACUUGUGCCUUAUGGUUUUGUAAUCUUAUGAGUUGUUUCAUUCUGAGUGUGGUGUGUGUGUUGUUUUGUUUGUGUCUUGUACCACCACUGCCACAGGGCAUAAACCCAUUUGCAGUUGAUAAUAAAUAAUAAUAAUAUGACAUUUGUUGUCAAUUUAGGAUUAUUUUUGUUGACUAAUUUUUUCCCUCGCCUGUAGGAAGAUUUCCUAUCUAUUUUCUUUUGUUGAAGCAAACCACUGUGUUUGUGGCCAUUGCCUUCAAUAUCAUAAGAAUUCAGUUUCUUCCAUUCUAUUCUGGAUCAGGAAGUUUAUAACAUUAUCUAGUAGAAUAAUGAACAGAAUGAAAUUACACAGACUACUAAUUUACAUACGUUUAUUAUAUUUUAUUUAUCGAUAAGUUAGAUGAGUUAAUGUGGAAUAAAUGGAGCAGCUCAGUCAGUAUAGUGACUUGCUACGGACUGGGUGACGAGUUCAAUCCCUGACAGGUAGGAGAUUUUCCUCUAGCCUCUGUGUCUAGAAUGGCUCUGGGGCCCACCCAGCCUCCUAUGCAAUGGGUACUGGGAUCCUUUUCUGGUGGUAAAGCAGGCCGGGGCGUGACACUAACCACUUACCCCUGGCUAGUGCCAAGGUUAAAAAUUAGUAGCAGCUAUAUAGCACACAGAGGGACAAUAACAAUACAAUACAUUAAACAAAUACAUUUCAUACUGUUAGUAAAGAUUUCACUUAUGCAAAGGGAUCACAAAACCACAUUACAUAUGAUGGUAUGGCUCCUACUCUUACGUUGGAACUAGAAAAUGACUUCUGGAGUGUAUUUGCUAGGUGGAGGUAUUUAUGUAUUUGUGAGGUGUACAGUGGUGUUAAACAUUUAAUAGUAUCUCAUGGCUGUAUGUAUUCAGACAGAGGAAUGACCCGAAGACCGACCCUGGGGCCCACCAAGCCUCGUAUACGUUGGGUACUGUGGGUCUUCUUCGGGAGUUUAAGCUGACAUUAAGAACGCGUGGAACUGCACAUGGAGACCUAAAAUACAUCGUUGUGCCAUGCAUGACAUAUUAAGCUCACAGACAACUCCACAUUUUGACCAUCUUCAUGCCUUUAUUAUGCCACGUUUUGAUAGUGUGGCUGUGCGCUUCCUCCGAGGUAUGAGCCAAGGAGUGACAGCAGUGUGAAGGGACAUGAAUCAUUUCACAAGCAGACGACUCCCGGGUCUGAUGCGGGGCGAUGCCACAGUCAAGAUGAAGUUGCAACAAAGUUCAGGGUAACUAUUCUCGUGUAAUUAACUCCGAAGAGUAGGGUCUUCCUUUAACCAUCAAAGGCACUCAACUGAUCAAGAACAAGUAGGUUCAUUACCGUGUUCAAAAGAACAUGCCACUGGACCUUAUCCUCAGUCAGAUAAAUCCAGUCUGCAUCUUCAGAACCCUCCCAAGUUGUCCCCAUGCAAGCUACCAUCUCGUCUUCAUCGAUUCAGUCAUGAAGUGCUCAAGAUGGGAACAUACACGGCUGUCGUGUGUCUGUCUGUUUACAUAUUUGAACUCAAGAACUGCUGGAGAGGUUUUUAUGGAGUUUGGUAUGGAAGUUAUGCAAUUAUAGACUGCCACAGGUACAUCCUUUUCAUUUUAUUACAGUUGAUAAUAACAUUACACAUUUGUGGGAUGAGAGUCACAUUAAAACAAAAAAAAAACUAAUUACAAAUGAAAUGUAGUAAUGUUCAAAUGUUCUGGGGAGAAUUUAUUGAAGUUUAUCAAACAUUGGAUGAACACUAUGUAAAAUGCUGCCUUGUCCACGCUGAAAUAAAUGUUGAAAUCGUA